AUGUCGGUUGGCAUUCAGAAUCUAUAGGUUAAACCACCUUGUUCUUUCACUCCUCAAGAAAUUGAUCACCUGACAGUAACAUCUCACAUCCAAAAUGGUGGGACGGUACUGUUGAAAAAUUAUGACAUGACGUAUUAGCCUUCACCUCCCUGCUUCCUUACAUUUUGUCGGGAAGCCAACAGAAUUGUGUAUGUCUGUGCUUUGACAACUUUCAGGCUAAAGCUGAAGCUAGCUCUGCAACUCUCUCUAUGGCAGGCUUAUGCUGUUGUGAAGUUUGCCAAUACAUGCCUGCGUGGGUUGAGGGGCAAUGCUGGCAUUGUCGAAGUGUGCAUUUGUUGCUUCUCAG